CAGCAGCCGCGGGAAUACAGAGGGUGCAAGCGUUAAUCGGAUUUACUGGGCGUAAAGGGCGCGUAGGUGGUUAUGUAAGUGAGAUGUGAAAUCCCCGGGCUCAACCUGGGAACUGCAUCUUAUACUGCGUAGCUGGAGUGCAGUAGAGGGUAGUGGAAUUUCCGGUGUAGCGGUGAAAUGCGUAGAUAUCGGAAGGAACACCAGUGGCGAAGGCGGCUACCUGGACUGACACUGACACUGAGGCGCGAAAGCGUGGGGAGCAAACAGGAUUAGAUACCCGAGUAGUCCCUGUCUCUUAUAC
rnacentral:rRNA from 1 species